rnacentral:rRNA from 1 species
AGAGUUUGAUCCUGGCUCAGGACGAACGCUGGCGGCGUGCCUAAUACAUGCAAGUCGAACGCACUCUCGUUAGAUUGAAGAAGCUUGCUUCUGAUUGAUAACAUUUGAGUGAGUGGCGGACGGGUGAGUAACACGUGGGUAACCUGCCCUAAAGUGGGGGAUAACAUUUGGAAACAGAUGCUAAUACCGCAUAAAACCUAGCACCGCAUGGUGCAAGGUUGAAAGAUGGUUUUGGCUAUCACUUUAGGAUGGACCCGCGGUGCAUUAGUUAGUUGGUGAGGUAAAGGCUCACCAAGACCGUGAUGCAUAGCCGACCUGAGAGGGUAAUCGGCCACACUGGGACUGAGACACGGCCCAGACUCCUACGGGAGGCAGCAGUAGGGAAUCUUCCACAAUGGACGAAAGUCUGAUGGAGCAACGCCGCGUGAGUGAAGAAGGUUUUCGGAUCGUAAAACUCUGUUGUUGGAGAAGAACGUAUUUGAUAGUAACUGAUCAGGUAGUGACGGUAUCCAACCAGAAAGCCACGGCUAACUACGUGCCAGCAGCCGCGGUAAUACGUAGGUGGCAAGCGUUGUCCGGAUUUAUUGGGCGUAAAGCGAGCGCAGGCGGUUUCUUAAGUCUGAUGUGAAAGCCUUCGGCUCAACCGAAGAAGUGCAUCGGAAACUGGGAAACUUGAGUGCAGAAGAGGACAGUGGAACUCCAUGUGUAGCGGUGAAAUGCGUAGAUAUAUGGAAGAACACCAGUGGCGAAGGCGGCUGUCUGGUCUGUAACUGACGCUGAGGCUCGAAAGCAUGGGUAGCAAACAGGAUUAGAUACCCUGGUAGUCCAUGCCGUAAACGAUGAGGGCUAGGUGUUGGAGGGUUUCCGCCCUU